rnacentral:tRNA from 1 species
GCGGGGUUAGCUCAGUCGGUAGAGCGUCGGUCUCAUAAUCCGGAGGUCGCCAGUUCGAUCCUGGCAUUCCGCA